CGCGUAGGCGGCCUGCUAAGUCACACGUGAAAUCCCUCGGCUCAACCGGGGAACUGCGUGUGAUACUGGCGGGCUCGAAUUCGGGAGAGGGAUGUGGAAUUCCAGGUGUAGCGGUGAAAUGCGUAGAUAUCUGGAGGAACACCGGUGGCGAAGGCGGCAUCCUGGACCGAGAUUGACGCUGAGGCGCGAAAGCUAGGGGAGCAAACG
rnacentral:rRNA from 1 species